rnacentral:tRNA from 1 species
GUUUAGAUAGUUUAAUAAAAAUUUUAAUUUGUGGAAUUAAAGAUAUAGAAGAAAAUAAUAUAUUUUAAACA